rnacentral:rRNA from 1 species
CAGUCGCCGCGGUAAUACGAAGGGGGCUAGCGUUGCUCGGAAUGACUGGGCGUAAAGGGCGCGUAGGCGGUUCGUACAGUUGGAUGUGAAAUUCCUGGGCUUAACCUGGGGGCUGCAUUCAAUACGUGCGGGCUUGAGUGUGGAAGAGGGUUGUGGAAUUCCCAGUGUAGAGGUGAAAUUCGUAGAUAUUGGGAAGAACACCGGUGGCGAAGGCGGCAACCUGGUCCAUAACUGACGCUGAGGCGCGAAAGCGUGGGGAGCAAACAGGAUUAGAUACCCCCGUAGUCCCUGUCUCUUAUAC